CUUGUUUUUAAUCAGCAUUAGUGAUGUGCCAAACUGUCAACAGCUCAUGAGCAAUAUGAACACUAUACUUCUUCACACCCCUUUGAGUUCAUAUCAAUCACUUGAAAAUAACUUUUUUUUUUUUCAAAAUGAGCUGUCACUAUCAAUUUGAAUAGUGCCUGUUCAACUGGAAUUUGUCCAGUUUUUCAGCAAGCCAUUUGGUACCGUAUAUUAUGAAGAAAACAACUUGCAAAAGCAGAUUCUUUUCAUGAUAUUUGUAGAAUAGACAUGUAUACUUAAAUAUUCCAAGCUUCCAUUGCCAGAUUUGUUUCUCAACUGUUUUGCCAAGGUUUACAAAAAUACCUUCAGAAGAAACCAGACUGGAAAAUUAAAGAUACUCUCUUUAGAUUCUUUCUGUACUAAACCUGCGAUAACCUCACCCACCAUGUCAUUGCUACUAGAACUUCUUAGACAAGAAACAUGGUAUGUAGCUGUCCAAAAGGGCAAAGCUGACAGGAGACAGGACGCAAGAGAGGCAGGAGUGAAACGGGAAGUGAUUCUCCCCCUCUGCUCUGCGCUGUGAGGCCUCACCUGGAGCACUGUAUCUAGCUGGGGAGUCCUCGAGUCUUUUUGACCUUAUUUUCUUCCACUGUCAAACUGAGAAAUGAGACUGAAGCUGGAUAGGCAGCUGGCAGCCAGCCAAGAUCAACCCAUCACAAUAGUUUGAAACCGUAAAUCUUACU
rnacentral:lncRNA from 1 species